GUAGGGUGUGGCAGGGGCAGAUGUAACACGAGUAGAGUUAGAGGGAGUUUAGAACUGUAGAGGGAGUUUAGAACUGUAGAGGGAGUUUAGAACUGUAGAGGGAGUUUAGAACUGUAGAGGGAGUUUAGAACUGUAGAGGGAGUUUAGAACUGUCCAGGGAGUUUAGAACUGUACAGGGAGUUUAGAACUGUAGAGGGAGUUUAGAACUGUAGAGGGAGUUUAGAACUGUAGAGGGAGUUUAGAACUGUCCAGGGAGUUUAGAACUGUCCAGGGAGUUUAGAACUGUCGAGGGAGUUUAGAACUGUCCAGGGAGUUUAGAACUGUAGAGGGAGUUUAGAACUGUAGAGGGAGUUUAGAACUGUAGAGGGAGUUUAGAACUGUAGAGGGAGUUUAGAACUGUACAGGGAGUUUAGAACUGUCCAGGGAGUUUAGAACUGUAGAGGGAGUUUAGAACUGUAGAGGGAGUUUAGAACUGUAGAGGGAGUUUAGAACUGUAGAGGGAGUUUAGAACUGUAGAGGGAGUUUAGAACUGUACAGGGAGUUUAGAACUGUACAGGGAGUUUAGAACUGUAGAGGGAGUUUAGAACUGUCGAGGUAGAGGGAGUUUAGAACUGUCGAGGUAGAGGGAGUUUAGAACUGUCGAGGUAGAGGGAGUUUAGAACUGUCGAGGGAGUUUAGAACUGUCGAGGUAGAGGGAGUUUAAAAUAAAUAAAUGUGCCGAAUACAACAGGUGUAGACCUUACCGUGAAAUGUUGACUUACAAGCCCUUAACCAACAAUGCAGUUCAUAAAUAGUCCGGGUAGCCAUUUGAUUCAUUGUUAGGUAGUCUUAUGGCUUGGAGGUAGAAGCUGUU
rnacentral:lncRNA from 1 species